ensembl:lincRNA
AUUUUGUUGAUGUUGCAAUGAAUUCAGCUGAAGUGCUAUUUCUUUGUAAAAGCAUCUCACAUCUACUCUUUAGACAAUUUGGCUUUGCGCAACAUCUCAUGUGUUUAGAGUAUAACACAUUUAACCUAUCAUUAAUUGAAAGCCUAUUUUGUCUCAUAGAAUGUGAUGGGUACUUUACAUAUGUUGGCACACUUAAUUGUCACCACAACACUAAGUAGUGAGUAUUAUCAUCUUUUUACACAUGAGAAAACUGAUAUUCAGAGAACUUAUGAAGCCGAUAUGGGUUUCAAACUUAGGUCUCUGUCUCCAGGACUCAAUUGCUUUUCCUGUACUCCAUGUGGACUUUCUGACAGUGAAAGAAGGACAUGCUUCAGGAUGUCCAAGAAAUCCCUUACUACCUGAACUCUCAUUACUCAACUAUUUAUCAAAGAAACCCCAAAAUGGAAUGCAAGUUGGUGCAGCCACUUUGGAGAACAGUGUGGAGGUUCCUUAAGAAAUGAAAAAUAGAGCUUCCCCAUGACCCUGCCAUUGCACUACUGGGUAUUUACCCCAAAGAUACAGCUGUAGUGAAAAGAAGGGCCAUCUGUACCCCAAUGUUUACAGCAGCAAUGGCCACGGUCACCAAACUGUGGAAAGAACCAAGAUGCCCUUCAAUGGACGAAUAGAUAAGGAAGAUGUGGUCCAUAUUAUGUCUCCAUCAGAAAGGAUGAAUACCCAACUUUUGUAUCAACAUGGAUGGGACUGGAAGAGAUUAUGCUGAAUGAAAUAAGUCAAGCAGAAAGAGUCAAUUAUCACAUGGUUUCACUUAUUUGUGGAGCAUAACAAAUAACAUGGAGGACAUAGGGAGAUGGAGAGAAGAGAGUUGAAGGAAAUUGGAGGGGGAGAUGAACCACGAGAGACUAUGGACUCUGAAAAACAAUCUGAGGGUUUUGAAGGGGUGGGGGGUGGGAGGUUGGGGGAGCCAGGUGGUAGGUAUUAUGGAGGGUACAUAUGGCAUGGAGCACUGGGUGUGGUGCAUAAACAUUGAAUUCUGUUAUACUGAAAAGAAAUUAAUAAAAUAAAAUAAAACAAAAACCCCCAAAAUGAAAAAAACAAAGAAACACCAGCAUAUAUAUGCCAGCAAAAUUGUUUGACACAUAUGAUUAUGGAUGAAUAGCAUCACAAUGUUUUGCUGUUGCCUCUCAGUUGUUUUAAUAAAGUUGCAUCUCAUUAUUUCAACAUAAUAGGUGUUAACACUGUCAUCUUCCCCACAUGAAGUGAUGAUGUCUCUUCAGGAAAUGGAGAGCCUGUAAAGAAAGUUGGUAGGUCUGAGAUGAUUUGGGAAGUCCAUUUACUGGAAGAAAGAGUGGAAAGUAUAAAGUACUUUGAAGAAUGAUGACUGCAUAAAAAUACAUUUAUCAUAAUUUUGUCUAC